rnacentral:rRNA from 1 species
CCUACGGGCGGCAGCAGUGGGGAAUAUUGGACAAUGGGGGCAACCCUGAUCCAGCCAUGCCGCGUGUGUGAAGAAGGCCCUCGGGUUGUAAAGCACUUUCAGUGAGGAAGAACGCCUGGUGGUUAAUACCCAUCAGGAAAGACAUCACUCACAGAAGAAGCACCGGCUAACUCCGUGCCAGCAGCCGCGGUAAUACGGAGGGUGCGAGCGUUAAUCGGAAUUACUGGGCGUAAAGCGCGCGUAGGUGGCUUGAUAAGCCGGUUGUGAAAGCCCCGGGCUCAACCUGGGAACGGCAUCCGGAACUGUCAAGCUAGAGUGCAGGAGAGGAAGGUAGAAUUCCCGGUGUUGCGGUGAAAUGCGUAGAGAUCGGGAGGAAUACCAGUGGCGAAGGCGGCCUUCUGGACUGACACUGACACUGAGGUGCGAAAGCGUGGGUAGCAAACAGGAUUAGAUACCCCUGUAGUC